rnacentral:rRNA from 1 species
GUGUGGAAUAUUGGUCAAUGGGCGGGAGCCUGAACCAGCCAAGUCGCGUGAAGGAAGAAGGAUCUAUGGUUCGUAAACUUCUUUUGCAGGGGAAUAAAGUGCAGGACGUGUCCUGUUUUGUAUGUACCCUGAGAAUAAGGAUCGGCUAACUCCGUGCCAGCAGCCGCGGUAAUACGGAGGAUCCGAGCGUUAUCCGGAUUUAUUGGGUUUAAAGGGUGCGUAGGUGGUUUGAUAAGUCAGCGGUGAAAGUUUGCAGCUUAACUGUAAAAAUGCCGUUGAAACUGUCGGACUUGAGUGUAAAUGAGGUAGGCGGAAUGCGUGGUGUAGCGGUGAAAUGCAUAGAUAUCACGCAGAACUCCGAUUGCGAAGGCAGCUUACUAAGCUACAACUGACACUGAAGCACGAAAGCGUGGGGAUCAAACAGGAUUAGAAACCCCUGUAGUCC